rnacentral:lncRNA from 1 species
ACUUGUGGAGGGUGGUUCCUGGGACAACGCCCAUGCCGUGAUCAGGAACGGGGUCAGCAGGAGUCAGGUGGGGAAGUGCCAGGUGUCCACUGCCACGACCAACACGUUACUCACACUCACGGCACAAGAAUGGCCUCUGUACCCUGUGUGUAGGCAUAUCCAGGCACAGUCGCUUGUAUGUCUGAGACCUCAAGCUGGAGAGUGCUGAUGGCCAACAUGCUGGUCACCUCUCCACAGUCCUUCCUCCUCCUGGACAACACCCCUGCUCUCUCUGGAUGGUCCUGAGCUAAGCCCGGAAGAACUUUCCAGGCCCAGGUUCCCCAUGCGGGGCUGCCUGAGCACCCCCACCCUAUGGCCAGCCCUGCUGCCCUGGCUUCCACCUCCAGAUCCUUCCUGCCAUGUCCCCCUCCAAUCAGAGCCGACCCACACUGUGUCCCUCCCAGUGGCUCUACUGCCUACUGAACACGUGCACCAUCACCGCCGUGGGGCCCACAGAGUCAAGGCUAUAAAGAGGGACUGAGAACACCGUGACGCCCUGGCCUGCGCACCCUCCUCUGCUCCAUCUGGGUCUGUCCGGAUGGCAGAGGCUCAGAGGGUCUGCCCCUACCAGAUGGUGGAGGCUCAGAAUGUCUGAGCCAGAAAAAGCAUGAAAGAAAACUUAGCCUUCCUCCUCCCAGUUAACAGGCUGGGUCCUGAGGGCACAGUGUCCAGCACGGAGGACACACAGUAAAUAUUCCCAGAAGGAGUGAUGGGUGAACGAAUAAAUAGAAUCUCACCCUGCCACCAUGAUUAAAUUCAGCCCCAAACUUACCUGUCCCAUUGUUUCCAUAUCCUGCCACCUCUGAGGCCUAAUCUGAAGAACUGAUUUGUGCCAGUGGACGAGCACUAUUUCUCUAGGUGAGACAUGCAGGUGUCAACAGGAAAUGUCCUGAGAUGUAAUUCUUCAACCCAGGAAGCCACUCCAAUCAAGAGAACAUAAAGCAAUGGUGAUGGGAUGUGGGGGUUCCAUGGGGCUUGGAUGCCCUGAGGAGGGCCUCAAAUCACAGAAUGAUGAAGGUCUUCUGGAUGCAGUGGCAGGGCAGGAGAGGUAUUGCCCUGGGACUCGAGAUGGGACCACAGCCAAUUGCUCACUCAGCCAUGGCCUGUGGGUCUGACACUGGGACCUCACUAACCCUCUUUUAACACUCCUAUCUGUAAGUAGGGAUCAUGACCCACACUUUGCAGGGGUUCUGAUGCUGCAAAAUUCUGGCGCUUUCUACAUGAUAAGGUCUUUGCUCACCAAAUGGAAGAGACUGCGUGCAGGUAGCAUGGGCCUGCCUACUGCAGGUGGGGUGCUUUGGGCUGCAAGUAACAGAAAAUCCAACUCAAAGUGAAUUGUGUGAUAAAGACAAUGCACCACCUCGCUUAUCAUGGUCUGAGUUCCUCCAUGAGGGUUGCCGCCUGGUGCGUCCUCUGUAAGCUCCCUGAAGCAGGGGCCUAGGCUGACCUUUUUUCUCCACUGCCCCCGAGAGCAUAGACCAGGGCCUGGCACAGAGAAGGCGUCCAGUGAGGAUUCCACCCAGGACACCAUCAAACCCUCAUCGCUACAUGGUCUAUUAAGUUGUGUUCCCCCAACAGCAGUUAAAGAAACCAAAGCUUGGCCAGGCACGGUGGCUCACGCCUGUAAUCCCAGCACUUUGGGAG